UCUUUAAGAGGUGACUGGUCCCAGCGCAGCUGCUGGUCAGUGCGCCGAAUGAGACAGUGGAUACUCGUCCCCUUCUCAUCACAAUGGCCAUUUAUCACUCAGUGGUGUGUUAUUCAAAUCUCGUACCAAGCGACCAUCGACCCCACUCUCGAGCUCGCCGUUUGUUUAGGGAGCUGCGCAAUUGUCACGGGAGCCUUCGGAUACAUCCUUUGGACAGAAAUGCAGGCAGUCCAUUGGAUGCGAGUUCUCUAAGGCAAUUAAUGUAUGAAUCAGAGUCUUGUUUCGAUCCUCACUAACAUGGUCUUUAAGUGCCACACGUCGUGUCUUAAAUGCACGGAAGAACUUUCUGCAUUUAAUUUUGCGCAUUAAUCCAACACAGAUGAAGUUGGAGACGCGUGAGUCAAAACACCUAAUGGAGGCAUUUGACGCACAGCAGGAUGUUUCUCUCUCUCUUUUUUUUUUUUCGUUUUUGGUCUCCCACGCUUGAUCAGAAAACGGAGCAUCUCACAGGUGCAGAAAUGGCGAAUCGCCGAGCAAAUACACGAUCAGCUGAAGAAAGUGCCUCAUGAUGGUGCAGCACAACCCUCCUAAUGAUCAUCAACAUCGACAAAGCUUGCUGAUUUCUUUCACGAGAAAAGGAGAAUUUUUAUAAAUUGCUUUAGAGACUGAUAUAAAAAAAUAUACUGCAUCACUGCUGCGUUAGAGGAAUCUGCACUUAUCAUUGCAACUACCUCACUUAGAAGCAAAUGAGGCCAUACAUCAUCCAGAGGGAAGAUGUGACAGAGUCAGAGUAUCUGAGUGCUGGGAUUCUCAAGGCCCAUACCCCCCACUGACCACACAGAGGCCAAGGGCAUCCCCAAUGCCCCCUCCACCCCUCCCUCAACAUUCCCCCCUCCUCUCGCCCUUUGUUCACCUGUUGUCCUGGAGACUCCAAUGCUGUGGUAACCACCCAUUGUUUGGGUGAGAACAGAGAGGAAGAGUUACACAGUCCAGAAGUAAUCUCACAAGUGCAUGACAUGAUGGAAAUAUUCCCGUAGCUCAUCUGGUAGAGCAAGGUGCUAACAACACAAAGGUCAUGGGUUAGAUUCUCAGGGAACACAUGUGAUGAUAAACUGUAUAGCUUGAAUGCACUGUAAGUUGCUUUGGUUAAAAGUGACUGCCAAGUACAUAAAUGUAACGGAAAUGUGACUCUUUUGAAAUUAGAAUUGUUUGAGGAUGUACAGUAACAAACUAAAAGUUUAGUAAUAACUGAUGGGAAAACUCUUGAGUUUCCAAAAUUAAAAUGACAAAUGUAAUGUUAAUAAUGACAAUAAGUAUACAACUUAUAGUUAUUAAUGCAUAACCACACUAAACGCCACCAAAAAAAACCCUGAAGCAUAGCCAGAAAGAGGCAAAAGUUGGUUUCGCCAACCAACAGCUGAAUGCACCUCAAAAGGACUUCUUUCUGUGCACUGAUUGUUUUUCAUCUUAGGGCCACACAAGGCCUGCCGCAUCCUCCGUCCCACCUCUAAGCCAGCCGCUAAGUCCGGCCUGACCCUGGCCAUUCAGAUGAAAGCCUCAUCAGCACUAGGACUGGGCACAUUUACAAGUGAAAGAAAGCCAAUAAUGGG